UCCCUUGUGGCUCAGUUGGUAAAGAAUCCACCUGCAAUGUGGGAGACCUGGGUUCAAUUCCUGGGUUGGGAA
rnacentral:tRNA from 1 species